GGCUGGACUGAGUGCAGUGGUGUUUACAACUAAUUGAUCACAACCAGUUACAGAUUUCUUUGUUCUUUCUCCAUUCCCACUGCUUCACUUGACUAGCCUUAA
ensembl:misc_RNA Y_RNA Y RNA